UUCUAUGUCGAUGUGAUUGCAGUAAUUCUCAAACUGAUUUAUUUCAUCCUGUGAAGUUCAGGAAUAAUGAUGGCAGACGAGGCAAGCAAACAAGAUCUAGUAACCACAAGUGAACCUCUGCCGAUUAACAGCGUCACUUUUGAACCUUCUCCUGAACAGGAAACCACCUGUGGAUAUUUUCAAUGGAUGGGAAUCUGCUAUGGACUGUGUAGCUGCUUAGAACUGUGCUUAAGCUGUAGCAGUUGCUGUGCAAGUUGUAGCUCUGCUUAGUUCACAGAAAAGGAUCUUUUUAUUUAUUGCACAACCGAUACUAUACAACCUUCGGCCAUGAAAACAAGUGUGAAUUUGAAGAGGCAUUUUUUAAAAGAUGAAAUGUAUUUUAUCUUGUGACGAAAUAAACAGUUGAAAUUUU